rnacentral:piRNA from 1 species
AGGAGAAUUAAGCUAUGGACAGCAGGA